GGGGAGGUUCCCGAGCGGUCAAAGGGGGCAGACUGUAAAUCUGUUGUUUCGGCUUCGAAGGUUCGAAUCCUUCUCUCCCCA
rnacentral:tRNA from 1 species